GCAGCACCAACUCUUUGAAAUUUCAAGAAAAAUUUCUCAAUUAUCUAUUUAAGUUUGGGAUACUGAUGGAGAGUUUCUUCUAAUUGAAGCGGCGUUUCAUCUGCCUAAUUAGUUAAACCUUGAAACAAGCAAGAAUCGAGAUUUUAUCAGAAGAGGUGAGCUAAAUAUUCUACCUAAACAGGCUUUUCCUUCAAACCCCAAAUUAAUUGAUUCUUUACACUAUAGGAGGAUUACAUGAUGAUAAACAGGCAGUGACGGAAGUGGAAUCAUCAGUAUUUGUAUUCCUUUAUUCUAGUUUGGAGCUUCAAGAAUCCCUUGUAGUGCUCAAUCUCGGAAAUAUACUAUCUUUAGGAAUUUUAGUAGGUUAUGUGUUUGAUAAAUUACGUAGGAAUUUUAGUAGGUUAUGUGUUUGGAAAAUUACGUCAAUGAAUCCAAAGUUAAUUCACUUAACUUUCAUUAACAUCGGUAGGUUAAGUGUUUGAUGAAUUGUACUAACGAAAAAAAGUUUCUUUUUUCAACUUUCAUUAGUCUUAGUAGGUUGAGUGUUUGAUGGAUUUGUAUUCCUGAACCCAAAGCUGUAGUUCUCAAGGUUGUUACCAUUUGGUAAGAACAUGAACUGUUAACUUGAGAAGAUUAUAGGCGUUAACUUGAGCUUGAAGCGGAGGAAAGGAAGCUUGAAGAGACUCUGGAGUAUCAAAGGAGAAUCGAGAAUGAGGCCAAACAGAAGCACCUAGCUGAAUUAAAUAAGAAGGGAAGUGGAAAAAUGCUAGAUAGUGUGGCAGCCGAAUUCUCUGUUGAAUUAAACCCCAUCGUCUAUGAUUUAGAUGCUUCCGAGAAGUUGGGAAACCAUAAGCCAGUAAGCUUUCCAUGCAAUGGUGGUUCCGUUGAUAGUUGGGGCAGGGUCGACCAUAUCGCAUCUUCUUCGAGUUCCGACUCUGUGGAUAAUCAAGAACUUGAACAUAGUAUUCCCAGAGAGAAUUCUGAGAAGUUGGGAAACUACGCACAUCAGGGAGGUUGUGCUUGCCGCUAAAAAAUAACAAAGAUCAACCCAUUGUUUUACUUGGCUGGUCUGCGGAUUAGGUGCAAAAGGAUGCUAUUGUCGUUGAAGUCAUCCGCAGGUUCAAUGGAGUAUAGCUAGGGCUUGUUGCAGCAACAAGUCUCAUGCUUAUGUAUAAUUGUGUUUGCAUUGGGUUGCAUCGACUGGGAGUCUGGAAGCUUCAAGUGAAGAGAACCUGGAUUUUUAUGUAUAAUUGUGUUUGCAUUGGGUUGCAUCGACUGGGAGUCUGGAAGCUUCAAGUGAAGAGAACCUGGAUUUGGCUCAAGAGGCUGACAGUGAAACUAAUGUCCAUUUGAAUAGCAUUUAAACUCUUGAACUGUCCCUGAUACAUUUUUUUUUUGAAUAACAUUGUAAAUGGAUUUGUUCAAUCAUUUUUUAGGUACCAAUUUAUUUAUGCGA